rnacentral:rRNA from 1 species
CACGUGGUUAGCCGGGGCUUCUUAGUCAGGUACUGUCACUUUCUUCCCUGCUGAUAGAGCUUUACAUACCGAGAUACUUCAUCGCUCACGCGGCGUCGCUGCAUCAGGGUUUCCCCCAUUGUGCAAUAUUCCCCACUGCUGCCUCCCGCAGGAGUCUGGGCCGUGUCUCAGUCCCAAUGUGGCCGGCCGCCCUCUCAGGCCGGCUACUGAUCGUCGCCUUGGGUCGGGCCGUUACCCCACCAACGAGCUAAUCAGACGCGGGCCCAUCCCAUACCACCGGAGUUUUCCCCAGGAAGCUAUGCAGCCUCCUGGGCGUAUGCGGUAUUAGCAGCCGUUUCCGGCUGUUACUCCCCCGGUAUGGGGCAGGUUGCCCACGCGUUACUCACCCGUCCGCCACUCAGACAUUACCGUCCUCCCGAAGGGAUCCCUGUAACCGCUUCGUUCGACUUGCAUGUGUUAGCACGCCGCCAGCGUUCAUCCUGAGCCAGGAUCAAACUCU